rnacentral:rRNA from 1 species
CUGCUAUCGGAUUGAUACUAAGCCAUGCGAGUCAUUGUAGCAAUACAAGGCAUACGGCUCAGUAACGCGUAGUCAACCUAACCUAUGGACGGGAAUAACCUCGGGAAACUGAGAAUAAUGCCCGAUAGAACAUUAUGCCUGGAAUGGUUUAUGUUCCAAAUGAUUUAUCGCCGUAGGAUGGGACUGCGGCCUAUCAGUUUGUUGGUGAGGUAAUGGCCCACCAAGACUAUUACAGGUACGGGCUCUGAGAGGAGUAGCCCGGAGAUGGGUACUGAGACACGGACCCAGGCCCUAUGGGGCGCAGCAGGCGAGAAAACUUUGCAAUGUGCGAAAGCACGACAAGGUUAAUCCGAGUGGUUUCUGCUAAAGGAACCUUUUGUCAGUCCUAGAAACACUGAUGAAUAAGGGGUGGGCAAGUUCUGGUGUCAGCCGCCGCGGUAAAACCAGCACCUCAAGUGGUCAGAUGAUUAUGGGCCUAAAGCGUCCGUAGCCGGCUCUGUAAGUUUUCGGUUAAAUCUGUACGCUCAACGUACAGGCUGCCGGGAAUACUGCAAAGCUAGGGAGUGGGAGAGGUAGACGGUACUCGGUAGGAAGGGGUAAAAUCCUUUGAUCUAUUGAUGACCACCUGUGGCGAAGGCGGUCUACCAGAACACGUCCGACGGUGAGGGAUGAAAGCUGGGGGAGCAAACCGGAUUAGAUACCCGGGUAGUCCCAGCUGUAAACCAUGCAAACUCAGUGAUGCAUUGGCUUGUGGCCAAUGCAGUGCUGCAGGGAAGCCGUUAAGUUUGCCGCCUGGGAAGUACGUACGCAAGUAUGAAACUUAAAGGAAUUGGCGGGGGAGCACCACAAGGGGUGAAGCCUGCGG